rnacentral:tRNA from 2 species
CCAAUUGGUAGAGCAACUGACUCGUAACCAGUAGGUCGUGGGUUCGAAUCCCAUCUCCGGC